rnacentral:tRNA from 1 species
GAGGGGAAGGCCACGCCAGCAGGAACUGCUAAUCCCUGUGUCUGAGUCUGAAACCUCAGUCCCCUUA